rnacentral:rRNA from 1 species
GAUGAACGCUGGCGGCGUGCUUAACACAUGCAAGUCGAACGGAAAUGCUCCUGCUUGCAGGGGUACUCGAGUGGCGAACGGGUGAGUAACACGUGGGUGAUCUGCCCUGCACUUCGGGAUAAGCCUGGGAAACUGGGUCUAAUACCGGAUAGGACGAUGUUUUGGAUGCCAUUGUGGAAAGUUUUUCGGUGUGGGAUGAGCUCGCGGCCUAUCAGCUUGUUGGUGGGGUAAUGGCCUACCAAGGCGUCGACGGGUAGCCGGCCUGAGAGGGUGUACGGCCACAUUGGGACUGAGAUACGGCCCAGACUCCUACGGGAGGCAGCAGUGGGGAAUAUUGCACAAUGGGCGCAGGCCUGAUGCAGCGACGCCGCGUGGGGGAUGAAGGCCUUCGGGGUGUAAACGCCUUUCGCUAGGGACGAAGCGCAAGUGACGGUACCUGGAGAAGAAGCACCGGCUAACUACGUG